UUAAGUUAACAAGGGCGCAUGGUGAAUGCCUUGGCACUAGGAGCCGAUGAAGGACGGGACUAACACCGAUAUGCUUCGGGGAGCUGUACGUAAGCUAUGAUCCGGAGAUUUCCGAAUGGGGCAACCCAGCAGUUUUAAUCAACUGUUACCACUAGAUGAAUUCAUAGUCUAGUUGGAGGUAAACGCUGUGAACUGAAACAUCUCAUUAGCAGCAGGAAUAUAAAGAAAUUUCGAUUCCCUAAGUAGCGGCGAGCGAACGGGGAACAGCCCAAACCAAAGUGCUUGCACUUUGGGGUUGUAGGACUGAACAUUUGAGUUACCAAAGAACUUGAUAGUCGAAGGAUUUGGGAAAAUCCGCCAUAGAUGGUGAUAGCCCAGUAGAUUAAAUCAAAUUCUCUCAGUUCAGGAUCCUGAGUACGGCGGAACACGUGAAAUUCCGUCGGAAUCCGGGAGGACCAUCUCCCAAGGCUAAAUACUACCUAGUGACCGAUAGUGAACCAGUACCGUGAGGGAAAGGUGAAAAGCACCCCGGGAGGGGAGUGAAAUAGUUCCUGAAACCAUGUGCCUACAAUAAGUCAGAGCGCGUUAAUGCGUGAUGGCGUGCCUUUUGUAGAAUGAACCGGCGAGUUAUGAUCCCGUGCAAGGUUAAGACUAAAAAGUCGGAGCCGUAGCGAAAGCGAGUCUGAAAUGGGCGUUUUGAGUACGAGGUUAUAGACCCGAAACCAGGUGACCUAUCCAUGUCCAGGUUGAAGGUGCGGUAAAACGCACUGGAGGACCGAACCCGUGUAAGUUGAAAAUUGCUGGGAUGAGGUGUGGAUAGCGGUGAAAUUCCAAACGAACUUGGAGAUAGCUGGUUCUCUCCGAAAUAGCUUUAGGGCUAGCCUCGGAAUUAGGAUCAUGGAGGUAGAGCACUAUUUGGACUAGGGGCCCGUCUUGGGUUACUGAAUUCAGAUAAACUCCGAAUGCCAUUGAUUCAUAUCCGGGAGUCAGACGAUGAGUGAUAAGAUCCACCGUCGAAAGGGGAACAGCCCAGACCAUCAGUUAAGGUCCCUAAAUGUAUGCUAAGUGGAAAAGGAUGUGGAGUUGCAUAGACAACUAGGAUGUUGGCUCAGAAGCAGCCACCAUUUAAAGAGUGCGUAAUAGCUCACUAGUCGAGUGAUCCUGCGCCGAAAAUGUACCGGGGCUAAGCAUACUACCGAAACCAUGGAUGCGACCAUUAGGUCGCGUGAUAGGAGAGCGUUCUAAGGGCGGUGAAGCAAGAUCGUGAGGACUUGUGGAGCGCUUAGAAGUGAGAAUGCCGGUAUGAGUAGCGAAAGAUAGGUGAGAAUCCUAUCCACCGAAUGACUAAGGUUUCCUGGGGAAGGCUCGUCCUCCCAGGGUUAGUCGGGACCUAAGUCGAGGCCGAGAGGCGUAGACGAUGGAUAACAGGUUGAGAUUCCUGUACUAGUUAAGUGCGUUUGAGCAAUGGAGGGACGCAGGAGGCUAAGAUGUGCAUUCUGUUGGAUUAGAAUGUCCAAGCAGUAAGUCUUGUGAAGAGUCAAAUGCUUUUCACUUUAAGGACAAGCUGUGAUGGGGAGCGAAAUUUAGUAGCGAAGCGUCUGAUGUCACACUGCCGAGAAAAGCUUCUAGUGAGUACUUAACUACCCGUACCGCAAACCGACACAGGUAGUCGAGGAGAGAAUCCUAAGGUGAGCGAGUGAACUCUCGUUAAGGAACUCGGCAAAAUGACCCCGUAACUUCGGGAGAAGGGGUGCUGAUCGCAAGAUUAGCCGCAGUGAAUAGGCCCAGGCGACUGUUUAUCAAAAACACAGGUCUCUGCAAAAUCGUAAGAUGACGUAUAGGGGCUGACGCCUGCCCGGUGCUGGAAGGUUAAAAGGAUGGGUUAGCUUCGGCGAAGCUCAGAAUUGAAGCCCCAGUAAACGGCGGCCGUAACUAUAACGGUCCUAAGGUAGCGAAAUUCCUUGUCGGGUAAGUUCCGACCCGCACGAAAGGCGUAACGAUCUGGGCACUGUCUCAACGAGAGACUCGGUGAAAUUAUAUUGUCCGUGAAGAUGCGGACUACCCGCGACAGGACGGAAAGACCCCAUGGAGCUUUACUGUAGCUUGAUAUUGAGUGUUUGUACAGCUUGUACAGGAUAGGUAGGAGCCAUAGAAACCGGAACGCUAGUUUCGGUGGAGGCGUUGGUGGGAUACUACCCUCGCUGUAUGACCACUCUAACCCGCACCACUAAUCGUGGUGGGAGACAGUGUCAGGUGGGCAGUUUGACUGGGGCGGUCGCCUCCUAAAAAGUAACGGAGGCGCCCAAAGGUUCCCUCAGAAUGGUUGGAAAUCAUUCGCAGAGUGUAAAGGCACAAGGGAGCUUGACUGCGAGACAGACAGGUCGAGCAGGGACGAAAGUCGGGCUUAGUGAUCCGGUGGUACCGUAUGGAAGGGCCAUCGCUCAACGGAUAAAAGCUACCCUGGGGAUAACAGGCUUAUCUCCCCCAAGAGUCCACAUCGACGGGGAGGUUUGGCACCUCGAUGUCGGCUCAUCGCAUCCUGGGGCUGUAGUCGGUCCCAAGGGUUGGGCUGUUCGCCCAUUAAAGCGGUACGCGAGCUGGGUUCAGAACGUCGUGAGACAGUUCGGUCCCUAUCCGUCGCGGGCGUAGGAAAUUUGAGAGGACCUGUCCUUAGUACGAGAGGACCGGGAUGGACAUACCUCUGGUGUACCAGUUGUGCCGCCAGGCGCAUCGCUGGGUAGCUACGUAUGGAUGUGAUAAACGCUGAAAGCAUCUAAGUGUGAAACACACCUCGAGAUGAGAUUUCCCAUUCCUUUAUGGAAGUAAGACCCCUGAAAGAUGAUCAGGUAGAUAGGUUAGAAGUGGCAGUGCGGUGACGCAUGAAGCGGACUAAUACUAAUCGGUCGAGGACUUAACCAA
rnacentral:rRNA from 1 species